AGUGAACGCUGGCGGUAGGCCUAACACAUGCAAGUCGAACGGCAGCACAGUAAGAGCUUGCUCUUACGGGUGGCGAGUGGCGGACGGGUGAGGAAUACAUCGGAAUCUACUUUUUCGUGGGGGAUAACGUAGGGAAACUUACGCUAAUACCGCAUACGACCUACGGGUGAAAGCAGGGGAUCUUCGGACCUUGCGCGAUUGAAUGAGCCGAUGUCGGAUUAGCUAGUUGGCGGGGUAAAGGCCCACCAAGGCGACGAUCCGUAGCUGGUCUGAGAGGAUGAUCAGCCACACUGGAACUGAGACACGGUCCAGACUCCUACGGGAGGCAGCAGUGGGGAAUAUUGGACAAUGGGCGCAAGCCUGAUCCAGCCAUACCGCGUGGGUGAAGAAGGCCUUCGGGUUGUAAAGCCCUUUUGUUGGGAAAGAAAAGCGGCAGGUUAAUACCCCGCUGUUCUGACGGUACCUAAAGAAUAAGCACCGGCUAACUUCGUG
rnacentral:rRNA from 1 species